GCUAAGUUUUGCAGAAUGAGUAAUUUUUAUUUACACUCGAAUGUAAAUAUUCAAGGAGAAUUUUAUUUUUUAUUAAAAAUAUUUUAAAAUUAUCUAUUUAUGAAUAUAUUAAAUUGGUGUGACUUCCCUAAGCUUGUAGGAAACAUUGGAGCAUUUGGAUCCGGAAUGAUAUGGAAUGGAUCACAUAUGACGGACCCGUGUACAUCUGUGGUUGGCGAUUUAGUAUCUGUCAGCAAUAUCCAAGAACAUGUGGCACAGCUCAAUGGGUUUAGAGAGCAUGACCAUGUGGUCGGCUCCGGCUAUGAACUUCACAUCUUUGGUUGGCAUAAUUUCAAGGAACCAUUCCUGGAGAUCUUUCUUCAAUAGCCUGUCAGAUUCGCAGACGAUAAAAACCCGAUUUACUGACCCGAAUUUAUCUUCUGUUAAUAGUGAUUCCUUGGACAACUCUUUCAAUAACAGCCGACUUGGCUUUAUCAACAUCUUUGCCAAUUCCAUAUCCUCCGGUUGACAAUGCUGAUAGAGAUUGGCUGCCAUGUAAUUUGGCCCAAACAAAGCUGAAGUAGGUAACUUUUCUGGGCCAUCAUCAAAAAAGAACUGGAAAUCCAAGAGGGACUCCAUUGGAGUCCUCUUAAAGAACUCCAGAACAAGAGUUGCAGGUGGGAAUGCACAAUUUGGCAUAAAGGCAGUGACAAAAACAGCCACCAAGAUCUUGUUAGGAAAACUUUCCAUGGCUAGAGAAAUAGCCAUGCCUCCAUAGCUGUGACCCACUAAGAUCACCUUCUCUUCUUCAGGGAGGGAGGCCAGGAAAUCCAUGAGGGGCUGCAAAUAGUCCGAUAUGGAAAUGGAAGAAAUCUGAUGAUUGAGCUGCUUGGAGUUGGAGUUAGAGUUGACUCCACAACCACCAAGGUCUAGAGCAGUGACACGGUGACCAGCUGCUUUAAGCAGUGCAAGAAUCUUAUACCAGCACCAAGCUCCAUGGCAAAUCCCAUGAACUAGAACAAAGUGCUUUGAGUUCUGCAUAUUUGCUCUUAAAAAAUUGAAAUUAAUUAUGGUUU
rnacentral:misc_RNA from 1 species